UACGUAGGAGGCAAGCGUUGUCCGGAAUUACUGGGCGUAAAGCGCGUGUAGGUGGUGGGACAAGUCUGCUGUGAAAGCGCCUGGCUUAACCGGGCGAGGUCGGCGGAAACUGUCCGACUCGAGGACGGUAGAGGGGGGUGGAAUUCCCGGUGUAGUGGUGAAAUGCGUAGAGAUCGGGAGGAACACCUGUGGCGAAGGCGGCCCCCUGGGCCGGCCCUGACACUGAGAGGCGAAAGCAUGGGGAGCGAACAGG
rnacentral:rRNA from 1 species